UAUAUAACUAUACCUAUAAGUAUGGAAUGUAUUUUCUUGAAUGACUAAAUUCUAUUUAUAAGCUUAUGAUCCAAAAACAUUUCGUGGAAAAAAUUUAAGUAGGUAGAUAGAUACUAAUAGAUAAUUCAUCGAUAUCAUCACGCCAAAAAUAUGUAGGUAGGUAUAUGAUUGGUUUAUCGAAUAAAGUCUAUAAUCUAAUCUAAGUACACCAGGAACACAAAAUUUAUGACCAAAUUGUAAAUGGCAUUGUAAAUUGUAAAUGGAUUUAUUGGCAGUAAAUUAAUCUAGUCAAACGUCAAAACAGAGCAGUAAAGGCAACAGAUUUGUUUUUGUAACAAAAUGGGUGCCUCCUGUAGCUGCGAUUGCAACCCUUGUCCGUGCUGCGACUGCAACGCAUGCUGCCCAUGUAGCUCGUGUUGCGCUGAAUGCUGUCCAUGCUGCCAGUGUUGCUGCGACAACAACAACGGUGUGCACGUCGUUGACCACCCGGGAGUGAUUGUCGUUGACCAACCUACGCUCAGAUGAUCAAAAUUAUCUAGUACGACCCGACAAAGUUAACUUGGUCCAUAAUAGGAUGACUGGGUGGAGAUAAAAUAGAAAAAUCCAAAAACAAAACCCAAAAAUAAAUACAUUGUGUUUGCUUUUUAAAUGUUUUACAAACUAAUUAAUUAGGAAGGAUGUAUUCCGUCCGUCUCAAGUUAACUUUGACGGCUACUUAUUCAAUAAGGGAUGUUUAUAGAGUUUUUUAGUUUUAAAUAUUUUAUUUAUUUUGUCAUCUCAGAUGGGACGAAUCAAACGAGUGCAUACUGUUAUCAUUUCCAUUAUUUUUGUUUAUUUAUUAAGUUAUAAUUAAUGAAAAUAUGAAACAUAAAAUAUCGAACUGUGUAUCGAGCUGUAAAUUGAAAUAAAGAUUUUCAUUGCGAUUCACUUUACGAGUUAUUUAAAAACACCUUUUCUAGAGAAAAUGUGUUUUUAAAUGACUCGUAAAGUGAAUAACUCUACUCUCUAACGAGAUACAGUUUUGUUCAUAAAUAAAGGGUUAUGUUUUGUCAUUUUGAAAACCAGAGAUAGGUAUUAAAACCAUUGAUCAUUUUAUACAAAUUGUAUUUAAAUAAAAUCUUUUUUUAGGAAGCAUAGGCAACGAUUUAAUAAAUACUGAAUGAAUGCAUAAUUAGAGCGAACAUAUUACAUAGGUAGAUAAACGUUUUUCAUAAAGAAAUUUAACGUUUAUGAGAAUACUGUACUUAGUCGGAAGGAAUUUAUCGAAUAGUUAUUGUGUUCUUUAUUGUUUUAUUAUUAAGUACAACAUUUUAAAACAUUCCACAAACAAUUUGUGUAAACACUAUACCGGAUACCGAUAGGAAGGACUUAAA